ACAGCAUGAAGGGUCUCUCACCCCCUGAGACAAAAGGGCAGCCUGGGGAGGAGAGGAGUCAUGGAGCUUCUGGUUCCUCCUUCGUAAGCUAAGUACAACAUGAGCUUAAAACUCCUCACUCCUGGUUGGCGGUUUGCUUUUUUUGUUGUUGUUGUUUUUGUCUAGGCUCCGCCCCACAGUUACCUGGCAACAGCCAGGUAUGCCUGACUCACUAUGAAAGGGCUGUUUGCCCCCUCUCUCCCUCCCUCCCUCUCUCCCUCUCUCCUCCCUCUCUCCCUCUCUCCUCCUCCCCCCUCUCCCUCUCUUCCCCUCCCCCCUCCCCCUCUCUCCAUUGCCCCCUCUCCCCAUCUCUCUCCACAUGCUCAUGGCCAGCCUCGUCCCCAUGUCCUGCAUGGGCCCGCAGAGCACUCCCUUCCCCCACACCAUACCGCGCCUCCACCAAACCUAUUUCUGGUCUCUCCUAUCUUUUUAUAAAACUCCUCACUCAGGGGUUGGGCUCACGCUACGGUACUACUACGUAACCUGAGGGCGGAAGGAACAGCUUAUACCGGGCAUGCGUUGAACAGACAAGGGUACGAUUCUUCCGCCCUUACGCUGUGCCCGGCACGUGCCCAGACAUGUCACCUGCAGUUCCACAACAAAAACAGAAAAGGACAGGAAUUUGGCACCUGUGGCCUCCUGCACUGUUGUCUUGGAAAUGUGGAGCGCUCGCCUGUGCCCCUGGAAACCACUGGAGAGAAUCGGGCACAGGGACGUCAAGGUCAUAACGUCCUUGCUUCUCAGACACCAACUGUAGGCAUUCUGCGUUCGGCUGCCUGUUUCUGUAGACGGGGCUUUGAAACGUACUUACCGACAACUGUAUCUGGGGCCAGGCCUGGUGAGCGAGCCCUUUGCUAGCCCUGAAGGAGGGCAGGCCUUGUAAGAGGAAUCUAAAUACGCACAAAUUAUCAUGACAACAUGAAAAAUUAGUAUUUGUUCAUUGUUAACUAUGGCCAAAACACUGGGUGAAUCACUUUAAAUUCUUGCCUCUUCCAAACUUCGUGGAAAUGUGUGAUGGUUGUAAAAAUUAGCAUCAUUUUACACAGAGGAAAAAAGGAAAAGACAAGGCCCAGGAAGGGAGCUGGUUCAUCUUGUGGUCAAACAUAUAACAGCCGAGGUGGGCUGAAAGGGGAUCCUGACUUCAGAAUCCACAGCUUUAAACACCAUGAAACACAGCCCCAGGGAGAAGCACAGAGAAGGGACCCACACCACACAUGGGUGCUACAGAAGACCUCCCAGGAGAGCGCAUACCUAUCUGGGGGUGACAGGAUGAGGUUCAAGAGACAGCAAAGCAGGGAAGGAGGGGCCAGGCGUGGGCCCAGUGUAAAGGAGAGAGGCUCCAAGAGGAUACUGUAUCUGAGAGACAGCGAGAGGCUGACAUGGCUGGUCACAGCAUGGAAGGAAGCUAGAGAGGGAUCCGUGGCCAUAGCGGGUAGAGCGGUACUCGUCACACAAGGGAGCUUCGUGGAAACGGUGACAGCGCUGAGGUCCUAACCAGAAGCACGAGAACAAAUGGAAUGCCCUUCUGAGGACUUCAUCCGUGAUCUACAUCGUGCCCACUCUUCCCUCUCCUGCUGCAGCCCCUCUCGUGCCCCACAACUCCCUCUAGAAGUCAAGACCUUCUCUUCCACACAUAUAUGUCGAGAUAAAUACAACCUGCUGGGUCCAGGUAGUGGUUCUCAAACGUCUAUGUGUUUAGGGCUGACCAUUCAGGAUGGGAUAAACUAUGGGAGGCUCCUCUCUGGAAAAGACAGACCUCUCUCUCUCUCUCUCUCUCUCUCUCUCUCUCUCUCUCUCCCUCCCUCCCUCCCUCCCUCCCUCUCUCUCUCUCUCUCUCUCUCUCUCUCUCUCUCUCUCUCUGUGUGUGUGUGUGUGUGUGUGUGUGUGUGUGUGUGAUCGUUAACUGCCUGUAGCUCUCCAUCUAGGGAUGGGGUCUUUCGAGAUUUCCCCCAUCCACGGUCCACAGUGACAUGUCAACUGGUGUUGUCCUUCGGAGGUCCCGUAUGUUGUUAGGAUUUCCUGGGAGCAGCUCCUUGUCCCAGAUAGAAGACUUUGUCUCCCAGCACACGUGUCCUGGGCUUGUGGCUCUUACAAUCUCUCUGCUUCCUGUUCCUCGGGUGCUCCCAGAGCCUUUGGCACAGGAGUUACGCUCUGGAUGUGUUGAUAGGGGAUCGUUUUGACCAGAUAUGGAUUUCUCUGAUGGUCUACAGCAGGAGAUUUCUGAAUGAAAUCCUGGAUGCAGAGGUGGGAGAGAGCUGAACUGGAGGCAGGAAGAACCGCCGGGAGCUCCUGAUAAUAACCCAAGAAAGAGUUCGCAGCCAGAAGUGAGACCAAUAACAGCACCGCACUCCCAGUCACGAGACCCCGGCUGCUGCUGGUGCCAGCCUAGAACUGAGCCUCUUCAGCAAGUUCUGGGACUUGAGGUAGCAGACAGCAGGGGGCACAAAUCAGAGGGUAGUGUGGCUCCAAGAGACUAUGCAGUCAGAUGCCCUGAUGUAAGCCUGCCAACAGCCCAACGGUUGGCAGCACCUAGAGGAUUCAGCACAGUACAACCCUGGGUUCCCUGCACCCAAGAAAGCAGUGUGGUGCAUUACGUGGUCUCCUGAUGCCCACCCCAAGCUACGCAAUCACACAAUCAGUCCACGGUCCCCGCCCUGCCACAGCUCCAGGUCACAUGACUGGAAUCACAGGGAAAGUGGGUGGUGUUGGAUUCCUCAGAUCCUGCCUGCUCGUCUCCUUGUCAGACAAAGGAGGCCAGGAGCUCCCGAGUCUUUCCCUUCUCUGGGUACUGUGAAGGUGGAUGACUAGAGCUCACUUCGUCCUGAGGCUGGAGGCCAUGGUGAGAAGGCAGGAGGGAAAGGCGGUGGACUCCUCCUGCCCCCUAAGACGGGGUCCCAAUCCUCCAAAGCUUAUGCUGGGUCAUACGAACAGGAAAACAAGUGCAGGCAAAGAACUCAGAAGUUUAUGGUUUGUCCCUCCAGAUGGCUAUUUAGAAGUUCACUGACUAGGGUCCAAUGCUAAUUGUAUCCCAAAAGUCAAUUAAAGAACAUAGGCCUCGGAAA